rnacentral:lncRNA from 1 species
AGAAAUAAUUUGGCAUCCUCCCCUACAAACAUCAAGGGCUCUGCUGGGAGUAGCCGCGUAUCAUCUCUUAUGAAAUACAGAGACAACGUGUGGAAUAGAGAAAGGAAAGCCCAUCCAGAGACUAUGCCACCUGGACAUUCAUCCCAUCUGCAUCCACCAAACACAGACACUAUUGCUGAUGCUAAGAAGUGCUUGCUGACAGGAGCCUGAUAUGGCUGUCUCCUGAGAGGCUUUGCCAGAGCCUGCCUAAUACAGAGGGGCAUGCGGGGUACCCAGUGAAGGAGUUAGAGAAAGGACUGAAGGAGCUGAAGGGGUUUGCAACCCCAUAGGAAGAACAACAAUAUAAACCAACCAGACCCCCCAGAGUUCCCAGGGACGAAACCAGUAACCAAAGAGGACACAUGGAGGGACUCAUGUCUCCAGCUGCAUAUGUAGCAGAGGAUGGCCUUUUCUGGCAUCAAUGGGAGGAGAAGCCUUUGGUCCUGUGAAGGCUUGAUGCUCCAAUGCUUGGGCAGUGAGGUGGGAGUGGAUGGGUGGGAGGGGAAGCACUGUCAUAGAAGCAGGGGGAGGGGUGUGAUGGGGGUUUGUGGAGGGGAAACUGGGAAGGCG